GUCUCUGUGUGAUAGAGGGGUCAGACUGACAGGUCAUUGUGUGAUAGAGGGGUCAGACUGACAGGUCACUGUGUGAUAGAGGGGUCAGACUGACAGGUCUCUGUGUGAUAGAGGGUCAGACUGACAGGUCUCUGUGUGAUAGAGGGGUCAGACUGACAGGUCUCUGUGUGAUAGAGGGGUCAGACUGACAGGUCUAUGUGUGAUAGAGGGGUCAGACUGAAGGGUCAUUGUGUGAUAGAGGGGUCAGACUGACAGGUCUCUGUGUGAUAGAGGGGUCAGACUGACAGGUCUCUGUGUGAUAGAGGGGUCAGACUGACAGGUCAUUGUGUGAUAGAGGGGUCAGACUGACAGGUCUCUGUGUGAUAGAGGGGUCAGACUGACAGGUCAUUGUGUGAUAGAAGGGUCAGACUGACAGGUCAUUGUGUGAUAGAGGGGUCAGACUGACAGGUCAUUGUGUGAUAGAGGGGUCAGACUAACAGGUCUAUGUGUGAUAGAGGGGUCAGACUGAAGGGUCAUUGUGUGAUAGAGGGGUCAGACUGACAGGUCAUUGUGUGAUAGAGGGGUCAGACUGACAGGUCUCUGUGUAUUAGAGGGGUCAGACUGACAGUUCUGUGUGUGAUAGAGGGGUCAGACUGACAGGUCUAUGUGUGAUAGAGGGGUCAGACUGACAGGUCACUGUGUGAUAGAGGGGUCAGACUGACAGGCCAGUGUGUGAUAGAGGGGUCAGACUGACAGGUCUCUGUGUGAUAGAGGGUCAGACUGACAGGUCUCUGUGUGAUAGAGGGGUCAGACUGACAGGUCACUGUGUGAUAGAGGGGUCAGACUGACAGGUCUCUGUGUGAUAGAGGGUCAGACUGACAGGUCUCUGUGUGAUAGAGGGGUCAGACUGACAGGUCACUGUGUGAUAGAGGGGUCAGACUGACAGGUCUCUGUGUGAUAGAGGGUCAGACUGACAGGUCUCUGUGUGAUAGAGGGGUCAGACUGACAGGUUUAUGUGUGAUAGAGGGGUCAGACUGAAGGGUCAUUGUGUGAUAGAGGGAUCAGACUGACAGGUCAUUGUGUGAUAGAGGGGUCAGACUGACAGGUCAUUGUGUGAUAGAGGGGUCAGACUGAAGGGUCAUUGUGUGAUAGAGGGGUCAGACUGACAGGUCAGUGUGUGAUAGAGGGGUCAGACUGACAGGUCAUUGUGUGAUAGAGGGGUCAGACUGCCAGGUCUCUGUGUGAUAGAGGGGUCAGACUGACAGGUCUCUGUGUGAUAGAGGGGUCAGACUGACAGGUCUAUGUGUGAUAGAGGGGUCAGACUGAAGGGUCAUUGUGUGAUAGAGGGGUCAGACUGACAGGUCUCUGUGUGAUAGAGGGGUCAGACUGACAGGUCAUUGUGUGAUAGAAGGGUCAGACUGACAGGUCAUUGUGUGAUAGAGGGGUCAGACUGACAGGUCAUUGUGUGAUAGAGGGGUCAGACUGACAGGUCUCUGUGUAUUAGAGGGGUCAGACUGACAGGUCUAUGUGUGAUAGAGGGGUCAGACUGACAGGUCACUGUGUGAUAGAGGGGUCAGACUGACAGGCCAGUGUGUGAUAGAGGGGUCAGACUGACAGGUCUCUGUGUGAUAGAGGGGUCAGACUGACAGGUCAUUGUGUGAUAGAGGGGUCAGACUGACAGGUCACUGUGUGAUAGAGGGGUCAGACUGACAGGUCUCUGUGUGAUAGAGGGUCAGACUGACAGGUCUCUGUGUGAUAGAGGGGUCAGACUGACAGGUCUCUGUGUGAUAGAGGGGUCAGACUGACAGGUCUAUGUGUGAUAGAGGGGUCAGACUGAAGGGUCAUUGUGUGAUAGAGGGGUCAGACUGACAGGUCUCUGUGUGAUAGAGGGGUCAGACUGACAGGUCUCUGUGUGAUAGAGGGGUCAGACUGACAGGUCAUUGUGUGAUAGAGGGGUCAGACUGACAGGUCUCUGUGUGAUAGAGGGGUCAGACUGACAGGUCAUUGUGUGAUAGAAGGGUCAGACUGACAGGUCAUUGUGUGAUAGAGGGGUCAGACUGACAGGUCAUUGUGUGAUAGAGGGGUCAGACUGACAGGUCUAUGUGUGAUAGAGGGGUCAGACUGACAGGUCAUUGUGUGAUAGAGGGGUCAGACUGACAGGUCAUUGUGUGAUAGAGGGGUCAGACUGACAGGUCUCUGUGUAUUAGAGGGGUCAGACUGACAGUUCUGUGUGUGAUAGAGGGGUCAGACUGACAGGUCUAUGUGUGAUAGAGGGGUCAGACUGACAGGUCAGUGUGUGAUAGAGGGGUCAGACUGACAGGUCAGUGUGUGAUAGAGGGGUCAGACUGAAGGGUCUCUGUGUGAUA